UGUGCAAUGAUGGGCUGGCUAACAUGUAAGAGAAUAUCCUCUUAGGAGGAGUCUUCAAAGAAAUUUACUUGUUAUGCUUAGAUUCGAAUU